AUGAAUUUUGUCUCUUCUACUUUACUCAUUGCCAUGAGUUGAUGUCGAGAAGAGCAAAACAAAACACAACUGUUUCAUCUUUCAUUAGUGACAUGAAAUUUAUUCUCAUUUUUACCAAUUUGUUUAGGUAACAUUCAUUAAUGUCUUUAUCUUUCGAUUUAUUUUAACAGUUCAACUAUAAAGAUUUUUUCUAAAUGGUUUCUCAUCACCUAAACCACUGCCUAGUGUACAUUUGUUAAAUGUAUUAAAUUUUAUUGGUUUACAUUGGUUGUGCUCAAAAUCUCCUAUCUUCAUCAUUUUUGUCAGCCUCAAGAAUCCCAACACACACGCGCAUUUGGAAAUUUAGUGAAAAACCAUCAAUCGGGCAAGCCUGUUUCUGUUUAAUCAAAUAGAUAAUUUUGUCUCCCACUACUGGGCUGAUUGUUUGGUUGGAAUUGAUCCAUUACUUGCCUUGUCUUAGUUCAAAUUGAUCACAUUUUCAUCAUUAUUUGGCUCGAGAUUUUUCAUCUCCAGCACAACUUAGUGACACCAUGGAGGACAAACCACCGCAACCUCCUGUUCGAUUGACCUCUCAACAAAAUAACCAUUCGAAACUGUGUAAUAGCCGAGAAUGCCAUUUUGUAAAUCAUAGUAACCCUGCCUCUCCUCACCAUUAUCCUCAUAAUUACCAAACGGUCAACUAUGCUCACCAACAAUCACUUUACCAUACGCCAUUACAUCAACCAUACAAUUCAAAUAGUUCAGUUCCUGUUGAUCUCCGUCCCUUACCAAAGGAACCUGAAAAAGGAAACAGUGUUGCCUCUAAAGUAAUUAAGAAAGGAUUAAAGGUUAAACCAAGCAAAUCUCAUAAAAAUGACAAGAAAGAUCAUAAUGUAAAUUUUGGAGUUCAUGGCUCAAGCAAUCACAAUCAAUCUUCUUCAUUUGUCCAUAAACCAUUUAUUUCAUCACCAACCAAUUUUGAGCACACUAUUCAUGUUAGGUUUGAUGCCCACACAGGUGAAUUCACCGGGAUGCCAGAAUCUUGGAAUAAACUGCUUCAACACUCUAAUAUAAGUAAAAUAGAGCAGAAAAAUAAUCCUCAAGCUGUUCUCGAUGUUCUCAAUUGGUAUGAUUCGAGUAACCGUGAAACAAUUGGAAAUCUACCUAAAUACAUGACAAUUAAUCGAUCAUUAGCGGAUUUGAUUGAUUCUUAUUUAACGUCAAAUGUUCCUCAACCGAAUUAUGUUCCCGAUAACAAAUAUGUUAAAAAGAAUGCAUCAUGUAUUUCUGUAUCAACCACUUCAACCAUGUUGGUCUCAUCCAAUUCUGCUUCAAGUUGCACUAGUGAUGCCGGACUUGGAAGUGGAAAUUUAAGUGCAACUAGCUCACCAGUCCAUUCAUUAAUCAAAAUAAGUCCUUCAUCUAAUGGAAGUAGCUGUACACCUCGGGAAUCUUUACAAGAACCUUUAUCAUGUACAUCUUCGCUCAGUUCAAAUCCACCAUCAACUCCGGAAGAAGAUAAUACUAAAUCACAUUCUACGCAACAUCAAAUACAUCAGCAAAAUAUUUCUCAUGUUCACCAUUCAAAUUACCCUAUUCAAUCUAAUCUUACAACAAUUGGUGAUAAGAGUAGUGGAAGUAGCAGUUGUAAUAGCAGCAGUAGUCGUGAUAGUAAUAACAUCGAUGAUCCUCACCAACGAUCUUCACCAAUUGAUGAGAACCAUGCACAAACAACACCUCCGUCUCAUCCACCUCCACCACCACCACCUACUCGUCCGGAGAAGACAAAAUCCAUUUAUACAAGGCCAAUAUGUAAAUCUAAAUUUCCUGGGUUAACCAAUUCUCCAGUUUCAGUUUCCAACAUUAACAAUACUACACCAUCUUUAAAUGUAUCUGCAAACAAUUCAGUUCCAUCACAACCAAAAGAAGUCAAUUCACCUACAACACCCUUAGCAACUUCACAUCUAAAUAAGCCUCCAACGACACCUAAAAAUUCAGAUAACAACUUGAACAUUCAUCCAACCAUAGAUGAAACCAUCGAUGCUGUCAAUAACCUUUCAAUAGAUCCUAAACCUGGUCAUAAUAACAACCUGACCGUGUUAAAUAACAGUGUCAACAAAACCAAAACAAUUACCAAGGAAUGUGUAAAUAAUAAUAAUAUUAAUAUUGCUAUUAAUAAUAAUAACAAUAACAAUAAUAUUAAUAACUUAAAUAACAACAAGCAAACUAAUUUGCCCAACAACAUUAAAAGUGCUGAUAAAGUAAAUGCCAAUAAUCUUGGUAAACUAGGUAAACCAGAUAAAAACGGAUUACUCGAGAAAAAGAAAAUGUCCGAUGAAGAAAUUAUGGAUAAAUUACGUAGCAUAGUGACCAUUGGUGAUCCUUAUAGAAAAUAUUCAAAGAUUGAAAAAAUCGGUCAAGGAGCCUCGGGUGUUGUCUAUACUGCUAUCGAAGUAUCAACAGGAAUGGAGGUUGCAAUUAAACAAAUGAAACUUGUUCAACAACCAAAUCAGGAGCUUAUAAUAAACGAAAUUUUGGUAAUGAAGGAAAAUAAGCACCCGAAUAUUGUUAAUUAUCUAGAUUCAUAUUUGGUUGGUGAUGAAUUGUGGGUUGUUAUGGAGUAUUUACCUGGUGGGUCUCUGGUAGACGUUGUUACCGAAACUUGCAUGGAUGAGGGUCAAAUUGCUGCUGUGUUAAGUUUACACUUUCUUUUUAAUUCAGAGAAAUUUUACAAGCUUUGGAAUUUUUACACUCAAAUGAUGUCAUUCACCGGGAUAUUAAGUCAGAUAACAUUCUCCUUGGUAUGGAUGGCUCAGUAAAAUUAACCGAUUUUGGUUUUUGUGCUCAAAUCUCUCCUGAACAUAACAAAAGGACAACUCUUGUUGGUACACCUUAUUGGAUGGCUCCAGAAGUAGUCAACAAAAAACAGUAUGGUCCAAAAGUCGAUAUCUGGUCUUUAGGAAUAUUAGCCAUUGAAAUGAUUGAAGGAGAGCCUCCAUAUUUGAAUGAACAUCCUCUUAGGGCUCUUUAUCUGAUCGCCACCACUGGCAAACCAGAAAUUAAAGAUAAGGAUAAACUUUCAGUUUUAUUUCAAGAAUUUCUGGACAAGUGCCUUGAAGUUGAUGUGGAUAAACGAUGGUCAUCAUCAGAGCUUCUUAAACAUCCCUUCCUUAAACUAGGAAGGCCACUAUCUUCACUUCACCCACUGAUUCUAGCAGCCAAACAAGCAGCUAACACUCAGCCAUAAACGAAAAGCCCUGACAGCCUUUAAUCUAAUUGUCUAUGAGCAUCUUUCAAAUGGCUGGACUUUAAAGUUGAGAGUUUUAAUAAUAAAUUGUAAAAUAUGGAUACAGUUUUUUAUUUGUAUAAAUUAUACAUUAUAGAUUUUAAAAACAAAGAGACAAAGAUAAUUAUUGCAUUAAAAUGCAAGACAACAGAACUAAGGAAAUGUAAUUCCUGAUUAUGUGAUUUUCUGAUGAUUCAUUUUAAUCACUCGUUCGUAAUCAGCGAUGGAUACGGAUGCUGGAAGUUUCAAUCAAUACAUUGCUUGGAUCAAGUGAAAGUUUAUCAACGGUUUAGAUGAAAGUCAAUGAAAAGGAUGAAGAAUAGGAAGUGGAUUAAAAAAUUAAAGCUGUUUUUUAUUAAAUUGGAAGAAAAUCAACAUUGUUGAGCCGAUUUUUUGGCAGAAGUUGGAAGAGAUCCUUUGUGACAAGCCUCUUGAAAGAUAAGAUGUGAUGGAAGACACACAGAAAGUGAAGAUAGUAUUGUACUUCCGGAUGAAAAGAUACGCUUUCUUUUCUUGUCGUUCUUUCGAUCUCUCUCUCUCACCAUGUGAUUUCAAUCAACCAUUUUUUAUCAGAAUUUCUUAAUGUGAAUGCAAAGCAAGCCUUUUCAUUCACUCAUUUUAGCUCCAAACUUUUUGAGUAAAAUUUAAUUUUCACUCUAAAUUUACCCUCACCCCACCUAAUCUCAUCUCUAGACAAAGUGAUCAACAGUCAAUUUUAAUCAUGAUUUUGUUUUCUUUUCACCCAAGGAUCAAUUCAGAGACAGACAUCUUUUUGGUGUGACGUAAAUAUGAGAAUGUAGAUGAACUCUUCUAUUCUAAAUUUAAAGACUAUAUUAAUAUACGUAUGCAAUGUAUAUGUAAAAUGUAUAAUGAAUGUAUUACAAGUGAUUUGCCUCAAAAAAUUACUAGAAGUAUGAUAAAAUUAAGAUGAAAUUGAAAUGAUAAAAUAUCUCGAGGAGAUGAGAUGACAAAUUAUUUUAUAUUUAUACUCAUCGUGGUUUGUGCCAAUAAAUGAAGACGAAAUAAAUUAACAAUUUUAACACCUUGUCA